rnacentral:rRNA from 1 species
AAUCAACGCUGGCGGCGUGCCUAACACAUGCAAGUCGAACGCGAAAGUCCCGCAAGGGGCAAGUAGAGUGGCAAACGGGUGAGUAACGCGUGGGCGACCUACCUUCGAGUGGGGGAUAACCUUCCGAAAGGAGGGCUAAUACCGCAUGACAUCCCGUGUUUGGAUACACGGACAUCAAAGCCGGGGAUCGCAAGACCUGGCGCUUGGAGAGGGGCCCGCGUCCGAUUAGCUAGUUGGUGGGGUAACGGCUCACCAAGGCUCCGAUCGGUAUCCGGCCUGAGAGGGCGGACGGACACACUGGGACUGAGACACGGCCCAGACUCCUACGGGAGGGCAGCAGUGGGGAAUUGUUCGCAAUGGGCGCAAGCCUGACGACGCAACGCCGCGUGGAGGAUGAAGA